rnacentral:rRNA from 1 species
UAGGGAAUCUUCGGCAAUGGGGGGAACCCUGACCGAGCAACGCCGCGUGAGUGAAGAAGGUUUUCGGAUCGUAAAGCUCUUUUGUUAAGGAAGAACGAGUGUGAGAAUGGAAAGUUCAUACUGUGACGGUACUUAACCAGAAAGGGACGGCUAACUACGUGCCAGCAGCCGCGGUAAUACGUAGGUCCCGAGUGUUGUCCGGAUUUAUUGGGCGUAAAGCGAGCGCAGGCGGUUAGAUAAGUCUGAAGUUAAAGGCAGUGGCUCAACCAUUGUAGGCUUUGGAAACUGUUUAACUUGAGUGCAGAAGGGGAGAGUGGAAUUCCAUGUGUAGCGGUGAAAUGCGUAGAUAUAUGGAGGAACACCAGUGGCGAAGGCGACUCUCUGGUCUGUAACUGACGCUGAGGCUCGAAAGCGUGGGUAGCAAACAGG